GUAGGGGGCAAGCGUUGUCCGGAUUCAUUGGGCGUAAAGAGCUCGUAGGCGGCUCAGUAAGUCGGGUGUGAAACCUCCAGGCUCAACCUGGAGACGCCACCCGAUACUGCUGUGGCUAGAGUCCAGUAGGGGAGCGUGGAAUUCCUGGUGUAGCGGUGAAAUGCGCAGAUAUCAGGAGGAACACCAGCGGCGAAGGCGGCGCUCUGGGCUGGAACUGACGCUGAGGAGCGAAAGCGUGGGGAGCGAACAGGAUUAGAUACCCUGGUAGUCCACGCCGUAAACGUUGGGUACUAGGUGUGGGGUCUUAUCAACGGAUUCCGUGCCGAAGCUAACGCAUUAAGUACCCCGCCUGGGGAGUACGGCCGCAAGGCUAAA
rnacentral:rRNA from 1 species